rnacentral:rRNA from 1 species
UCCAGCAGCCAUAUCACCCUGUAACUCCCAGCUGGCAGCUGACUGAAGCUCAGCAGGUGUGAGCCUGGUCAGUACCUGGGAGACUCCUGGGAAAGCUGAGGCUGCUGCUGGAA